GUGAGCUGCCAGAAAUCCGGCAUGAUCAUCACUGUGGAUGCUCCUCAGGACUGAGGUCAGGGAAUUCUGGGGCCACAGCCAUGAAACUCUCCAGCUGGAACUAAAGACAGCUGUCAUUAGGCUUGUGUCCUCUGCAGGCUGGAAGCAGAAGGAAGGCAUUCCAGUCUGACCAGUGAGUUUCAGAUCCAUGCAAGAUUAGGAGUCGGUUUUAAACCUGUGGCUGUGAACGUGUGAUUGAAUUUUAACUGCUUUCAAUUAAUGUAGAUCAAAAGAGACUUUUGUAGUUGGACAGUCCUUCAAAAGUACCAGACUUCAAGCAUAAAUCUGUCCAGUCUGCCUUUGUUUUUCAUAACUUGUCUUGCCAUGUUUGUUAAUUAUGGAAGGCAUUUAGGACUUGCUCUGUCUCAUCCAGUUUCUUCACUUCAACAGGGCUCCAGCAGUCAAGUCAGCAAUUUUACAAUCCACUGCCUUGGACCUAGAAAGUCAUUUAUGGCCAGCAAAGUAGUCUGAAAUGGCCAGAGGAUCCACAGGGAUGGAAGUACUCUGAAGAUCCUCCUCUGUUUUUUGGAUACCUGUCUGGGGCUUGUAGAAUACCAAGGAUUUCCAGCUUUUCUGCACUGUAACAUCUCUUCAUAUCCUUUAUCUUAUGUUUUGGAUGAGUAUCCCAAAAUCUUGGUGUUUUCUGUAGUAGUCUGAGAAUUUUUCUCCAGGAAAUUGUAAUGAACAUGUUCUUUUUGAAUGUCCCUGUGUUUACAUGACUGCUUCAUCAAGAUUUUCCA